AGUGAACGCUGGCGGUAGGCCUAACACAUGCAAGUCGAACGGCAGCACAGAGGAGCUUGCUCCUUGGGUGGCGAGUGGCGGACGGGUAAGGAAUACAUCGGAAUCUACUCUGUCGUGGGGGAUAACGUAGGGAAACUUACGCUAAUACCGCAUACGACCUACGGGUGAAAGCAGGGGACCUUCGGGCCUUGCGCGAUUGAAUGAGCCGAUGUCGGAUUAGCUAGUUGGCGGGGUAAAGGCCCACCAAGGCGACGAUCCGUAGCUGGUCUGAGAGGCAGAUCAGCCACACUGGAACUGAGACACGGUCCAGACUCCUACGGGAGGCAGCAGUGGGGAAUAUUGGACAAUGGGCGCAAGCCUGAUCCAGCCAUACCGCGUGGGUGAAGAAGGCCUUCGGGUUGUAAAGCCCUUUUGUUGGGAAAGAAAUCCAGCUGGCUAAUACCCGGUUGGGAUGACGGUACCCAAAGAAUAAGCACCGGCUAACUUCGUGCCAGCAGCCGCCGUAA
rnacentral:rRNA from 1 species